rnacentral:rRNA from 1 species
CAGUAGCCGCGGUAAUACGUAGGUGGCAAGCGUUGUCCGGAAUUAUUGGGCGUAAAGGGCUCGCAGGCGGUUUCUUAAGUCUGAUGUGAAAGCCCCCGGCUCAACCGGGGAGGGUCAUUGGAAACUGGGAAACUUGAGUGCAGAAGAGGAGAGUGGAAUUCCACGUGUAGCGGUGAAAUGCGUAGAGAUGUGGAGGAACACCAGUGGCGAAGGCGACUCUCUGGUCUGUAACUGACGCUGAGGCUCGAAAGCGUGGGGAGCAAACAGGAUUAGAUACCCGAGUAGUCCCUGUCUCUUAUAC